GGUCUCAUAGCUCAGCUGGAUAGAGCGUUGCCCUCCGGAGGCAAAGGUCGAAGGUUCGAAUCCUUCUGAGACCACCA
rnacentral:tRNA from 1 species